CGGGAUAGCUCAGCAGG
rnacentral:tRNA from 2 species